rnacentral:rRNA from 1 species
CUCAACCGCUGAAUUGCACUGGAUACUGCCGCGCUUGAGUACAGGAGAGGCAGGCGGAAUUUCCGGUGUAGCGGUGGAAUGCCAAGAUAUCGGAAGGAACGCCAACGGCGAAGGCAGCCUGCUGGACUGUUACUGACCCUCAGGGACGAAAGUUGGGGGAGCGAACAGGAUUAGAUACCCUGGUAGUCCCAACCGUAAACGGUGUAUGCUCGAUGUCGGGAAGGUUCCGACCCUCCCGGUGUCCAAGCUAACGCGUUAAGCAUACCGCCUGGGGAGUACGGCCGCAAGGCUAAAACUCAAAGGAAUUGACGGGGGCCCGCACAAGCGGUGGAGCAUGUGGCUUAAUUCGAGGCAACGCGAAGAACCUUACCUGGGUUUGACAUAUACCGGACAGCCUGUGAAAGCAGGCCUCCCUUCGGGGUCG